GGCAAAUUAUCCUCAUAAGUUAGACGACAAGAGGAACCGCAUUGAGAUUAAAUAAUGAUUAAACUUUAACCUUUUUUUCCUUCUAGGGAAUUAGGGUGUAGUAGUUUGUCAAGUUGUUUAACUCUUUGGCGAGUGACAGAAAAUCGGAGGCCCCGACUGUUUACUAAAAACACAAUUUUCAGCAAUGAUGAAUAUCAUAGUAUUGAAGAUGAAAUUUGCUCGAUGCCAAUAAUAUAACCCCUACGCCUCACUUACUUACUCUUCAUAAAUAGUUAGCUUAGGUUAGUAUAAAUUUUAAAGAUUUAGUUUUAGGGAAAGGGGGAAAUUCUGGUGAAUGGCGGUCUUAACUAUGAGGAUCCUAAGGUAGCAAAAUAAAUUGGCCAUUAAAUGUGGUCCGGUAUCAAUAAUGUAACGAUGGCCUCACUGUCUCUACAACUUGCUCAGUGAAAUUGAAUUGCACGUGCAGAUGCGUGCGACCUUUAGGGGGACGGGAAGACCCUAUGAGCCU
rnacentral:rRNA from 1 species